AAGUCGUAACAAGGUUUCCGUAGGUGAACCUGCGGAAGGAUCAUUAUCGAGAGAGGGGCUUCGCGCUCCCGGGGGUUUCGGCCCCCAACUCUUCACCCAUUGUCAACUUACCCUUGUUGCUUUGGCGGAUUCCGGGGUAUGUCUUCCGUAGGUUUGUCAUAAACCCGUGCGAGAUGCGCCGGCCGGCCGCCCGGACGGCAGCUUAAAAUCUGUUUAUCAGUGAUGUCCGAGUAAAAAACCAAUAAUAAAA
rnacentral:misc_RNA from 1 species